UACGUAGGGUGCAAGCGUUAAUCGGAAUUACUGGGCGUAAAGCGUGCGCAGGCGGUUGUGCAAGACAGAUGUGAAAUCCCCGGGCUUAACCUGGGAACUGCAUUUGUGACUGCACAGCUAGAGUGUGUCAGAGGGGGGUAGAAUUCCACGUGUAGCAGUGAAAUGCGUAGAUAUGUGGAGGAAUACCGAUGGCGAAGGCAGCCCCCUGGGAUAACACUGACGCUCAUGCACGAAAGCGUGGGGAGCAAACAGG
rnacentral:rRNA from 1 species